rnacentral:rRNA from 1 species
GAUACGACCGUACCGCAAACCGACACUGGUGCGCGAGAUGAGUAUUCUAAGGCGCUUGAGAGAACUCAGGAGAAGGAACUCGGCAAAUUGACACCGUAACUUCGGAAGAAGGUGUGCCCUAUUAGUGUGUAGUGAACAACGAAGCAUGAAUGGGUUGCAAAAAAUCGGUGGCUGCGACUGUUUAUUAAAAACACAGCACUCUGCAAACACGAAAGUGGACGUAUAGGGUGUGACGCCUGCCCGGUGCUGGAAGAUUAAAUGAUGGGGUGCAAGCUCUUGAUUGAAGUCCCAGUAAACGGCGGCCGUAACUAUAACGGUCCUAAGGUAGCGAAAUUCCUUGUCGGGUAAGUUCCGACCUGCACGAAUGGCGUAACGAUGGCCACACUGUCUCCUCCUGGGACUCAGCGAAGUUGAAAUGUUUGUGAUGAUGCAAUCUCCCCGCGGAAAGACGGAAAGACCCCAUGAACCUUUACUGUAGCUUUGUAUUGGACUUUGAACAGAUCUGUGUAGGAUAGGUGGGAGGCUUUGAAGCAGGGUCGCUAGAUCUUGUGGAGCCAACGUUGAAAUACCACCCUGGUGUGUUUGAGGUUCUAACCUAGGUCCAUUAUCUGGAUCGGGGACAGUGCAUGGUAGGCAGUUUGACUGGGGCGGUCUCCACCCAAAGCGUAACGGAGGAGUUCGAAGGUACGCUAGUUACGGUCGGACAUCGUGACGAUAGUGCAAUGGCAUAAGCGUGCUUAACUGCGAGACUGACAAGUCGAGCAGAUGCGAAAGCAGGACAUAGUGAUCCGGUGGUUCUGGAUGGAAGGGCCAUCGCUCAACGGAUAAAAGGUACUCUGGGGAUAACAGGCUGAUACCGCCCAAGAGUUCAUAUCGACGGCGGUGUUUGGCACCUCGAUGUCGGCUCAUCUCAUCCUGGGGCUGUAGCCGGUCCCAAGGGUAUGGCUGUUCGCCAUUUAAAGAGGUACGUGAGCUGGGUUUAAAACGUCGUGAGACAGUUUGGUCCCUAUCUUCCGUGGGCGCUGCAGAUUUGAGGAAGCCUGCUCCUAGUACGAGAGGACCGGAGUGGACACACCUCUGGUGUAUCGGUUGUCACGCCAGUGGCAUUGCCGAGUAGCUAAGUGUGGAAGAGAUAACCGCUGAAAGCAUCUAAGCGGGAAACUCGUUUCAAGAUGAGAUCUGCCGGGGCCUUGAGCCCCCUAAAGAGUCGUUCAAGACCAGGACGUUGAUAGGUCAGGUGUGGAAGC